AUCCAGCUGAUGAGUCCCGAAUAGGACGAAACGCGCGUCAAACCGGAU
rnacentral:hammerhead_ribozyme from 1 species